UAAUUUCACCGCAGAUGAGUUGCAGAAUUUUACAAAUAGUUUAUGUUAUACCUACGCAAGAUGCACCCGAUCAGUUUCAAUAGUUCCUCCCGCGUACUACGCGCACUUGGCUGCAUUUCGUGCACGUUACUAUAUAGAAGGCCAAUUAUCCGACGCCGAUUCAUCAACUGAAACUGGAGGUAGAAGAGCAAACUUUCAGGUUGUAUUGCCAUCUC